CCUACGGGAGGCAGCAGUGAGGAAUAUUGGUCAAUGGGCGAGAGCCUGAACCAGCCAAGUCGCGUGAGGGAGUACUGCCCUAUGGGUUGUAAACCUCUUUUGUCGGGGAGCAAAAGCCGGACGUGUCCGGCUGUGAGAGUACCCGAAGAAAAAGCAUCGGUUAACUCCGUGCCAGCAGCCGCGGUAAUACGGAGGAUGCGAGCGUUAUCCGGAUUUAUUGGGUUUAAAGGGUGCGCAGGCGGAUUUUUAAGUCAGCGGUAAAAUCGUGGGGCUCAACCCCAUCCAGCCGUUGAAACUGGGGAUCUAGAGUGUGCGAGAGGUAUGCGGAAUGCGUGGUGUAGCGGUGAAAUGCAUAGAUAUCACGCAGAACCCCGAUUGCGAAGGCAGCAUACCGGUGCACAACUGACGCUCAGGCACGAAAGCGUGGGUAUCGAACAGGAUUAGAUACCCCUGUAGUC
rnacentral:rRNA from 1 species